rnacentral:rRNA from 1 species
UACGUAGGGAGCGAGCGUUAUCCGGAUUUACUGGGUGUAAAGGGUGCGUAGGCGGCCUGGUAAGUUAGAAGUGAAAUUUUGGGGCUCAACCCCAAAUCUGCUUCUAAAACUGCUGGGCUAGAGUGCAGGAGAGGAAAGCGGAACUCCACGUGUAGCGGUGAAAUGCGUAGAGAUGUGGAGGAACACCAGUAGCGAAGGCGGCUUUCUGGACUGUAACUGACGCUGAGGCACGAAAGUGUGGGGAUCAAACAGGAUUAGAUACCCUGGUAGUCCCU